rnacentral:tRNA from 36 species
GGGUGGUUGGCGCAAUGGUAGCGCGUUCGCCUCCAGAGCGAAAGGUUGUUGGUUCGAUCCCUGCACUGCCCA